rnacentral:rRNA from 1 species
UGGGGAAACCCACGUGCAUAAGCACGUAUCCUUACCUGAAUACAUAGGGUAAGGAGGCGAACCGGGGGAACUGAAACAUCUAAGUACCCCGAGGAAAAGAAAUCAACCGAGAUUCCGAAAGUAGCGGCGAGCGAAAUUGGACUAGCCCUUAAGCUUUACACGCGUUAGACGAACGGUCUGGAAAGUCCGACGAUACAGGGUGAUAGUCCCGUAGUUGACGACGUGUGUUCAGUGAAAUCGAGUAGGGCGGGACACGUGAUAUCCUGUCUGAAUAUGGGGGGACCAUCCUCCAAGGCUAAAUACUACUGACUGACCGAUAGUGAACCAG